ensembl:lncRNA
CUGCUUUUGAUGCAGCCCAGGAUAGUUUUGCCUCAUAGUAAUUUCUUCUGGGCAAGCCAUUGGGAAAAACAAAACAAAACAAAACAAAACAAAACAAAAAAACAGCAGCACGCAGUCAAAGCAGGCAUUUUCUGAUACUUUUCUGAUACUCAAAUACUGGUGUGUAUUUGUUAAUGUGGUUGUUCAUAUUUUGUUGACAGAGCCUGCUCAAUCUCUGCCUUACAUCAGAUGUGUUUAAGCUCAUUCAGUGAAACAGAGUCCUGUAACACCACCUGGAAAUGCCAGGUUCCACUUGAUUCUAGAUGAGCCAUGCAGGGAGGUGAAGAAUAUCCCAACUCCAUAAUUAGAUAGCAGUACUGCAUCUCCUAAGAAGCUAAUGAAUGAAUGGUUGUGGAAUGAGCAGAAAAAGCAUCCAGAAGGUCAAACUUUCUUAAGGUAAGGUAAAAGUACUUCUUAGUCAAGAAAUUAAUUUUGGGUCUCUUCAGCUUGCUCCACCUUCAGGACAAAAGACAUAAAUUUAAUGCUAAGCUUACUCUAACCACUAAGAUCACAUGAAGAGAUUUCUUUCUCUUUCUUCUGGACAGGGGGCAGCAGAAUGACCCUCUGGUGAGGGCUGUCCCCACUGAGGCUUUCCAAUAGAGAUCACCAGUAUCAAUGGCAACUGGACAAACUGCUUUCCUUCUUGGUGAGCUGAGUUGUGCAAAGGCUAAUAUUAGAGUCUGGAGAAAUUCUCUCAUAAUAAAUAAAAGAGUGGGAGGAUGAUGUUUUAUUUAAAUUGUAUACAUUAAUUGAGGACAUACAUUCUACCUCUCCAUCCCCAACAUAACUGAAAGCUGUUUUUCAUCUGUUCUUCUGUGAUGAAAUGAAAAGGUUAUCUGUUAAGAACAUAUCUGGAGAGAGGAAAUCCCACCCUAAAAUUUGCUGGAUUAGUGGCAGAUCCAAAGCCCAUUGAAAACAACCUGGUGAGUUUAGUGGGCUUUCAGUUCCAAAUCUAAGUGUCUGAUGAUCUGAAUAAUGUCUGUGAUUAUUUGUGUACUUCUCUGAUCAUAAUCUCUGCUUUUCUGCCUCGUGCUCUUGAGUCAGGAGCAGCAACACAGCCAUUUGCAGGACUUACUUAGCAAGAUAGUAGCCUUGCUGUAAGGUUGUAUGUCUUGCUGUCUGCAGUACUUGAAUCAGCCUCAAGUGACCAUGUGAAACAAAUGUAUUGCACAGUCCCAUCAGAUUUCUUCUUUCUGCUCAGGCUUUACUGCAAUCAUUUAAACAAUUUUUGUUCCUCCUGUAACACCUUGUUUCUGCUGAAAUGUGGAAACAGUAGAACUUCUUCAGCUUCUUUACACUGUAGUUUGAAGCAAUGGAAUCACAGACUCAUAGAGUCAUAGAAUCACUAAGGUUGGAAAAGACCCACAGGAUCACCCAGUCCAACCAUUCACCCAUCACCAAUGGUUCUCACUAAAAGCAGACAUAAACCCAACUCUGAUCCAGAUGAUGGCAACUUUGGGUUUUUUGGCUUGGGUGUAAAUGGCUUAAGCAAACUCAAAGCAGAAGAGAUUCAGAACCCACUGCAAGUUAUUGCGAAAUUCACCAUUUUAUGCUCUUUUGGAAAAAUCAAUUUUACACAGUUUGCAUCUAGUUUUGAAUGCUUGCAUCAUACUGCAUUUAAUUUGGAAACUAUUUUCUGUGGUCAUGAAUUUCUCCCUGGAGUCUCUUUCCAGGUAAUCAAAAGUUAGUGUCUUUCUGCACUUUGGAGGUGCAAGUCUUCCUUUUAUUAAGUGCUUUGCAUUCCUAACAUGAUGCUCAUCCUCACUGACUGGGUGCUUGCCUCCUACUGAGAGACUGGUGACUGAGAACUGGAAACUGAUUACGAUAGUAACUGAAGAAUGUUGUAAUCAUUCUCCUUGCGUGAGCCAGAUAUAUUCCCGACUCUCCUGCUUGGAGGGAAGUGUAUGGACUGUGAUAACAGGAAGGUUUAUAAAAUCAUUGCAAUCUAAGUAAUGAUUACGGUAAGCUGUUUAAAAAGUUAUGCCUGAUUCUCCCAUGUCUGAGUCCAAAAUCUGGUGAACCCCCAGCAGGAAUCUCUGCGUGGUCUGUGAGGAGAACUUCAUCAAGUUCACCACAGGACAAUGUUUCAGAGAGGCACAAUGGUAUUUUUCCAGUAUAUCCAGAGCAGAUCAUGACUGUGUGUGUUUGUAUUAAUCCCAGCACUUUUCAAGUUGUGUCUAUCACAUCUCUUCCACUGAGGACAAGUGAUGAAUAAGGGAACAGCAAUGCCAAGAAUGCUGAGAAAUGCUGUGUCUUGAGCAGAGCCCGUCCAGUCCUGGAGUCGCAGGUUAUCCUGCUGUGCAAACAGAACUGGUGGGGCAGAUGUUGGAGAACAAACUAGUUUUCCGUGGGGCCUCUUUGAAGAAAAUGCAGUCAGCUCAGGGUGGUCAGAAGCGCACUCUAAAAACAUUUAACCUUGGCAGCUGAAUACCAGUAAACCUAUAAGUGCUGGGCUCUGCCUCUCUGCUUGAAGAGCUGCUGACCAUAGAGGCCACCCAUCCUGAAGCUGUCUCUGUCAAGAGGCUAAGGAAGGAACAAAAGGAAUGAUGGCAAUUUGCUUCUUAUCAGAGGAAGUCUACUCCAUGAAUGACUCACAGGAGUAAUUAUCUGUCAAAUUGUCUCUGUGUGUAGGAAGAGUCUGCAUUUCCGUUCCUCAGUCUCAAGUCACUGUGGUUAGUUACCAAGCUUGCCAUUACUUCAAGAGGAUUUCUUCGUUAUUUGGUGGAUUCUUGGUGCUUAGGGUAAUUGCAGACUGACCACGGAGUAGAAACAGUAGCUGACCUACAGUAAAUAUCAGCUGAGGAAAUGGGUUGAUGGGAACCCCAUGAAGUUCAGCAAAGGCAAAUACCACACUCUCUGUCAGAGGUGAGACAGGGAUGUCUGUGCAGCAGGACAGAAUGAGCACUGCCGUGGACAGAAAGCCCCAAGGCAUGAAGGACCAGAGGCCUGGUUCUUCCUGGGGUGCACAACAACAGGAUGUGGGGACAGCUUGCAAAUUUUGUCCUGGGAUCUGGCGUGACUCAGGAACAGGUUGCCAGAGAGGCCAUGGGACCCCCAUCUGCUGGCCCGGUUUUUGUGGGGUGGGUCCUAGACCACCUGAAAUCCAGUCUGACCCAAUCCAUAGCUACUGGGUAAAGCACCAACAGGACUCACUGCUGUCACUGGUGGUUGCUUCUGCAAUUUUUACCUCAGGCACUUUUCUAAUAUCUUUACUGAAAUUAAAUAUCUUCAAAUACCUUUCAUUUGGAAGCCUUUAACUUAGUGAUAAUUUUCUUGACUUUAACAGCAGUGAGAGAAUGGCUUUUUUUUUUUUUUUCCCAAGGAAUCACCUCUUUAGUUACAGAUGAAAUGCUUAUGUGCUCAUGAAAUGUUCUUGCUCAAAGUUCUUGCAUUGCUGCUGCCAGGCACCAGCCCUGUGGUGAUCCUGUGCUCACAUGGCUUCCUGGUUCCUUCCCUGAGGCUCCCUCCAGUACUAACAGUACUAACAGCAAUAACUGCCAUAAAGCUCACUGUGGGGUCACGGCUGGGAUAAUUUGGCAUCCUGUGGGUAGUCUGAAAGAUGGAUUCCUGAUUGUGAGAAUGGCUUCUCCAGUGUCUGAGAAGCAUCCUUUGUGUUAAUCGACAGGUAAGGAAAUUGAACAGUUUCUUCACACCCUCCUUGCUGCAGAUUUCUUUCAACUAAGCCAUUUUAUUCCUGUUUCUGAGGGACAGAGAGAAAAUGCUGUAUCUUUUGUUUCAAGGCCUUAGGGUUAGAACUUCAUCUUUGGCUGUCUUUACGUUGCUACAUCAAAGUAGGCAGUAAGAAAUUAAAACCAUCAGGAUAACAUAAUAAAAAAGAACAUGCCAUUUAGAAGAAAAAAAAAAAGGGAGGGGGGGAUUGGGGAGAAAAAAAAAAUCGAUAUUUUGUCUUUUAGGUCCCUCGUGAGGAAUACUAGUGUAGAAAGAAACAGAGGGGAAAACGUGAACAAUGGACCUCUCCUACCCUAAUUGCAAGUACAGCAAGUAUGUCAAGUGUGCAUUUGAGAGACAGAAGACUGCUUUGUAAACAUGAGCAGUGCUCAUGAAACAGACAGAUGAUAGCUGAGAGUCAAUCUGUAGCUAUAUCCAUCUUGAAGAAACCUUAUCUGAUGAAGCGAACCAGCAUAGCCUGUAUCUGUAAUUCUUGAUCAAUAUAUUUUUGUUUUAUCUUCUGCUGAAUGGCCUUGCUGCAUUUUAUAUGAAAUUUGAUUGUAUAAACGGCUUCCACAUUUUGGAAACGCUUCCAGUUUGGGAAUAUAAGUGGAGAAAUGGUUGAUGUCUGGAUUUCUCUCAGAUUAAGUGAAAAGCACCUUCUGAAGUACUGAACUGCUGCAAUCACACCUGGUUUGGCCCUGCCCUAAAACAAGCUUUGGGGUAUGAGAGAGUGCUGAAGUCUACCUGGAGUUCUUAUAGGUUGGUCUCUAGAGGCAGAAUAUCAGACACUUUCUGAAAUUUCAUAGUUUAGGAUUUAGGUGUGUUUUUCCUUCUGAGCAUAAGCAAUUUACUGAAUAUGGUCAGCGUUUUCUUUAUUGGCGUUGUAGAGUGAAGGAUAACUGCUUUGCAAAUCAACUAAAUUAAAACUACUGUAUUAGGAAUACUGCCUUUAAGCAUAAUAACUGUGUAACACAAACUUGGCAGAAAGAUGUUUAAUUUACAGGAAAAAAAGUGAACAGGUUAAAGAAUAUUCAGAUAAGUUAGGUAGAUUCAAGUCAGCAGGGCCUGAUGAAAUUCACCCCAGAGUACUUCAGGAACUAUCUGAAGUGAUCUCUGAACUAUUAGCAGUUAUCUCUGAGAGCUCAUGGAGGAUGGGUGAGGUCCUGGAGGACAGGAGAAAAGCAAACACUGUACCUAUCUUUAAAAAGGGGAAACAGGAAGACCUAGGGAAUUUCAGGCCAGUCAGGUUGACUUUGAUACUGAGAAAAAUGCAAGAGCAAAUUAUUGAACAAUCAAUUUGUAAACACCUAGAGGAAAAUAAGGUGAUAAGAGCCAGCAUGGGUUUGUCAAGAACAAAUCACAUCAAAGCAAUCUAAUUUCCUUCUUUGACAGUGUAACUGGCCCAGUGGAUAAGAGGGAAGCAGCAGAUGUGAUAGAUCUUGACUUCAGUGAGGGCUUUGACACACAUCCACCUGACAUUUUCAUAAGUAAGUCAGAGAAAUAUGCUUUAGAUGAAGUUAUUAUGUGAUGAGUGCAAAACUGUUUGAAAAAUUGGACUUAUUGGUAAAGCAAUUAUCAAUGUUUUGUUGGCAAACUGGGAAAACUGUGGUAUCUCAUCAAAUAAGAUAUCACAGAGGUCUGCCUUAGGUCCAGUAUUAUUCAAUGUUUACAUCUUCGAUGAUGGAAGAUAUAGAAAACUUUUAAAAAUUGCAGGUGAUACUGAACUAGAAGGGCUGCAAACAUUUUAGAGAACAGGAUUUGAAUACAAAAUAAUCUUGAUAAAUUGAAGAAAGAGUCUGAAGCCAAUAAGAUGAAAUUCAAUAUGAACAAGUGUAAGGUAUCACUUCUGAGGAAGGAAACAUCAAAUACACAAAUAUGAAAUGGAAAACAAGAAGUUUGGAAGCAGUUCACAUAAAAGAAGUUUAGCACAUUGCACACAAAAAAAAUAUGUAAUUCAGAAAUACAAAGUUGUGUGAUGGGAUGAAUUAAUGGUUAUGUUGUGAGUAACUGGGAAGCAUCUAUUUCAUUCUGCUCUGGAUAACGAGGCCCAACCUGGGAAUAUUAUGUCUGUGUCCAGUGGUGACAUCACAUUAUGGUAGAUAAUUUUGAAAUCUUUUUCAUUUUGAAAGGAGAAAGAGCAGUGCUUAGAAAGCAGGAAAAGCUGAAAUAAAUGACUCCUUUUGUUUUGGAAAAAAAAAAAAAAUAGGCAUAAUGUAGAUCAGCGAUACAAAAAAAUGUUACUAAAAAUGUGAGAGAGAAAAGGGCACUUACCUGUUCUCCCUCAGUAAAAACGUUGUGAAAAGAAACGGAUAGGCAAAGCUGAAGCCUGAGAUACUCAGAUUAGGUACAAUUCAGAUAGAUUUCUCUGGUUAUGAGAAUGGCACAGCACUGGAACAAGGUUUCUAAAAUACUCCAGAAUCCUUGCUUCAAAUCCUUAAAAUGGGUCAGACAGACAUCUGUCAGUGAUGUGGAACAGAUGUCCUCUUGAGAUCGCUUCUACUUUCACAUUUCUACAAUAAUUCGUACACCUCAGUCAAGAGGAAAACCCACGUGAACCAAAUAAGCAAGAAUUGCUCGCAUGCACAUACAAACAUACAUUUCCUACCAAACCCCCAACCUUUCCCUGAAAAUCUCUUUUCCUAUCAAACAUUUCUGUGCACUUAUCAAACUGAUGUUGUUUCUUCUAGUCCUUUUCACCUGCACGUCCCCCAAAACAGAGAAAAGAGUCACUCAUCACUUCAUUUCUGUAUUAAAGAUUAUGGAGAAAGGCAGAUCUGACGUCUAUCCAAACAACUAAUCCAGUAUGUUGCUUUCUGUGGGCUGACCCUACUAAUGUAUAGAAGCAAGCCUCCGAAGCCAUAAAAGCCUUUUUUGAAACUAUCUGUUGCAAGCUGCCAUAAGAAGUGCUUUGUUCUUUUUCUCUCUGUAUUUUUGAUGAAGCUACAGUUUGAAAAUGACACUUUAUAAAUAUGCCUGCUCCCCUUUAAUGAUAAACUUGGGACAAACUGGAUGAUAUUUUCAUGAGGUUUUAUUGGCAUGAUUUUGAACUGUUUUGUUAUUUAUGGGAGCAUCCUAGACAGACUGCAGCAAACACUCAGCAUCUUCUUGUUAUGUUUACUGUGUGAGCCACAUGCAUCUCAAAAUGUAGUCUUGAAAUAUAUAGUGAGAAAAGGGAGCUUCUUUUAGGGCUGCAGGGCCAGAAAUCUUAGUCAUCAAGUGCUGAUUUGUGUGAAGAUUACAACAGGAAAAAACAGUGUUUUAAAUGACUGAUCUAAACAAGGUACCUGAAAUUUAACUGCAGGGUUUGCACACUGCACUGCAGUGCAUGCGUGCUACCUCAAAAUGACACUCAGAGCAGAAUGUCUUCUCCUGCAUGUGCUUGCCUUUGUGAUCAUACCUGCACGAUAACAAAUUCAGGAAACCUUUUCUUAAAGGUUAUGAGGCUGCGGCUGCAAGUAAAGAAUUGUUUGUCUUGCUUUGUAUCUGGGAUUAUGCCUGUUCCAUCUCCAUGAAACCAAGGAUGUUUAAUUUUGCAUGAAUGGUGGUGGGGCGAGUGUUAUUUGGUUCCUUGGCUUAGAUUUCCUACUAGGUCCGGAGGCUUAGAAAAAGGAAUAUCCUUACUUGGAGAACAGCCAUCUCCCUUUCCAGGCAAACUGACUGGUAGGUGACAGUCUUUGACAAGGGUCCAGUCUCAGUUCCCUGGAAGUAGGUUAGUCAUGUGAGAAGCUUUUCUGUGCAUUCGAAGACACACAAGAUAGUUCUGCUUGAGCCAGGUUCAUGCACAGUGCUAAGGCUAUAUUCAUGUGGUGCAAUGCUUCUUGGAUACCUAUAUGCCAAGGUUAAUAGUGUAACUGACCUUCCUCUUCUCUAUUUUGCUCUGGCCCUGUUCUUAUUCACGUAUGUCUUUAGCACAUAUGCUUUAGCUUUACCUGAGUAUAACAGUCUCCUAUUACCUCCUGCAACUGAGAACUGGUCAAAACUGAGCAUCCCAGGCUCUAUUAAAAUGUCAGCAAGAUUUUACGCACGAGUUAAGUCCCACUUAAGGAGUAUUUUGAGAUUUCACUGUGCAAUGUAAAAAAAUAAAUUUGCAGUUACUGACCCCUCCAUGCAGUCCACAUAGUAUACUUGAUACUUGGGGUGGUAGGAAGAUACACCAUCACUCACACUCAUUAGGAGGUCCACAGCACAUAACUUUUAAGAGGGAAUUUUGGGGUAGAAGGUUUUGGGAGGUCAUUGGUAAUACUGCCAUUAACUUGCCAAUGAGGAGGUAGGACCAUAUUUAGAGCCACUUUUAGUCCUGCUUUCUGUAAUCUAAUAGGUUUUACAUUUUCAUUAGCUAUCACAAAUGAAAGAUUUGUGGUAGUAUGGAACCAAAAUUUUUUUCCUUAUCACUUGCAAAAGAUGCUAUUAAAGAUAAAGUAAAAUAAAACUUCCUGGAUCUAAAUAUAGGCUGGACUAAAUUGGCAGAUUUCAGUAAGCAUGUCUGCUUAGUACUGGACACGGUGCUGAGUGAAUUUUACAUAAGAGGAAAAAAAGCUAAGUAAAAUGAUAGAAAGCCUUGUCUGAACUGCAGCCGAAAACGGAAUAGUUUUCCCUUCUAUGAUACAGGGUUGUAUCUUUCUAUCUCAGCCAACCAGAGAGAUCUUUUUGGAAUACAUAUACCCCUGUCUGAAACACAUCUCCAGCCUGUUCUGUGCUAAAAAAUUUCAAUCACAGAAAGGAAAAGAAAAAAACAAAAAACAAAAAACAAAACCCAAUAACACUCCCAAACUAGCUCAGUUCCUGAGGUUUCUGCAAAGGAUGUAACCUAGAUUCACAGAAUAAUUCUGGUAGGAAGGUGUAACCUCUAGGAAAUCAUCUGCUCAGGUGUUCCUCACACAACAGAUCUAGCACACCCAUCUCCCAUUAUAGAUACCACAUUGCAGAUAUCCUAAUUUGUAAGGGUGAUGUCAGCUAAGAUCAAAGAUCUAUUCUCAUUUCCAGCAUAGGCCAGAAGAGGUUAAGUCAAUUUAUGAAGUCUCUUAAAUGAUCUCACUGAGGCAGAGUUUCUCAUCUAGUGCCCCUCAUCCUAAACCCUCAGUACUAAUUCUGUGUUAUGCCAAAGAGGAGCACACAGGAGUCUGGAUCUGCGCUGCAGCUGGGACAUAAUGUAUCUCUGCCUAUUUCCAGCGCCUUUCCCAGCUCUUUCCCAAAGCUCUGAGGGGACAGAUGGUCUCUUCUGCCCAUUUAUUUGGUUUCCAUGGUGGAAACAAUUACCGCAGCACAAACAAGAAGGGGACACUCAUCCAGACACUGCAAGACUGUUCAUUAGUAAGGCAGCAUCAAUGUGCAUGUGGCAGCCCAAUUUGUGUCUUGCUUGCCAGUGUGGCUUAACUCAAGUAUAUCCUCUGAACUGACAUCAGUGAGAGCAGACAUUCUGUGUUAAGAGGAACAGCCCACCCGUGAUAAAAAUAUAUUAUUGCGGUGAUAUAUUUUAAUGAGAACUUCAGUGUGACCAGCUAGUGUUGUUUGAAAUAAAUUCUAUUAAUAAAGCAGCUGAAUUUGUGGUAUAGCACUAAAUACAGAGAACUAUAAAGUAGCUACGUGAUGUGGGGUCAUCAGUUUAGUGGUCUGACCCUCAUACCUUAUGCAUGUCCCUUAAUUUCCAUGGAGUCUCACCCUCCUUCUGUAGAAUGAGGUUUAGCUCUCCCUCCUCACACCCCAGUGGAAUGUCACAGGGUGCAACCCUCUGGCACUGAGGAGAUAUCUGACAGUGAGGUCUGUAUUAGCACUUCAGGUAGCACUUCUAUUUAGGGGCCAGCAGACUGACAGCUCCUUGCUGUGUGAUACCAUGGUGCUUUGUCUCCUCGUUUUGGUAUGUGCAGUAUCCUACUUGUGCUACAUCUCAGUGAGCUGGAGAAGUGGUGCAAGUCACAGCACUUUCCUUUUCCAUCUGGCCUGCAGCAAUGGAGGGGUGGAGGGGGUUAGGCUUGCUGUGGUGUGACUGUGCUGCAAUGUAUGAAGUCAAGAACCCCACUGAAGAACUUGAAUAGAGAUUUGCAUCAUGUUGGUGAUGUUGCCAAACUUCAUGGUAGAAAUGCUCCAUUUUUGGAAGAUAAACUAUAGAAUACUUUCCACAGGACUGCAAGAAAGCAAGCUUGCUAUGCCUGCAUUCCACGCUUCUCAAUCAACAUCAAUAUCAAACCUCCUCCAGAAUGAAAAGAUUUCACCACUUUUCUUGUUAAAUGUCUUUGUUACGUGUAUUUAGGGUGUGCUAGAUAUUUUCCCUAGUUUAUCAAUGCCUUCAGCCGCUCAGCUCUAAGAAAGGUCAGUAUGGGCUCAUUGCUGAUUCCUUUUAUUUUUUUUCUCUCUGGUGCAUAACACAGGCAGCUAUUCUUGCCAGUCUCUCUCUUUGCCUAAGUACUUAGAAUCCUCCACGGGAACAGGUGAUUAAUGGCAUGUUAAUUGUCUAUGUUUGAGAAUGCACACAGACACACAGAUGCUUACACAGGGAGCUCUUGGUACGUAUGUCUUUCUAAGCAUCAAGUUUUUCCAUACAGAUCUUAUUAUCUGUAACAUAGCCCUUUCUCUCAGUAUUGUAUUUGCACUGGGGUUGAGGCAAUCCCAGUCAUGCACACAGACUGGGAAAAGAACCCAAAGAGAGCAGCUCUGUGGAGAAGAACUUGAGGAUCCUGAUGAAUGGAAGCCUGGACAUGAGCCAGCAGUGCACACUUGCAGCCCCGAAAGCCAACUGUAUCCUAGGCUGCAUCAACGGAGGGAUGACAGCAGGGAGAGGGAGGGGAUUGUCCCCAUCUGCUCUGCUCUCGUGAGGACUCAUCUGCAGUACUGCAUCCAGGCCUGGGGCCCCCAGCAGAAGAAAAACAUGGAGCUGUUGGAGCGGGUCCAGAGAAGAUCAUAAAGAUGAUCAGAGAGCUGGAGCACCUCUCCUGUGAAGAAAGGCUGAGGGAACUUUGCUUGUUCAGCCUGGAGAAGAGAAGGCUCCAGGGAGACUUCAUCAAGGCUUUCCAGUACUUAAAGGGAACUUAUAAACUGAUUUUUUACAUAGCCUGGUGGUGAUAGAACAAGGGGCAGUGGCUUUAAAACAGAUGAGAUUUAAGUUAGAUGUCAGCAGGAAUUUCUUUACUCAGAGGGCAGUGAGGCCCUGGCACAGCUGCUCCGAGAAGCUGUGGUGCCCCAUCCCUGGAGGCACCCGAGGCCUGGUUGGAUGAGGCCCUGGUGGAAGGUAGCCCUGCCCACAGCAUAGGCUGGGACUGCGUGGGCUUUGAGGUUCCUUCCAACUCAAGUAAUUCUAUCACUCUAUGAUUCUAUGAUAUAUUUGUUGUCUGUCUUGACACAUGACUGUAUGAAUACUGUCUUUACUUUCUAAGUCAUGAUUAAUUUAAAAAUUUCUCAGUUUUCUCACUGUACUUUUUUUUCUUUUCUGAGCCUAAUUACUAAGAGAUGUGAGCAUAUAAAUAUAAAACGUAUGAGUUGUUUGUUGUUGGUGGUGGUGGUGGGUUUUUUUUUUGCAAUAAAUCUGAUCAUUAUUUAUAUUGCUUCUCAGUAUCUCUCCCCUAAGCUAUCCUGAACUUGAACAAAUCACUACAUCACUAGAAUCUUGAACGUUACUUAUUUGUGCGCUAAUUAUUCUUAAUCUGGGUCCUUUUAAGAAGGUUGUCAAUUAGACUUUAUUGAAUUGUCAGUGCUCACAGCAGCAAAGGGAAUCUGGUAGCACGUGUAACCAUGUCACAGAUGGCUAAAUACUCUAUAUUCUGAAGGGGAAAAUGAAUUAAAUAUAGAUUCAAGUUACAGAAUGUGUGUGCGAUGUAGGUUUUUGUUUUUUGGUUUGUUUUUUUUUUCAGAGGAAACCACUGUUUACAAUUGACUGAAGAUGUCUCUGAGGAUCUCUUAUAUAUCAGCCUUUGGGAAGAGCUAUGAGCAAGUGGCUCAUCUAGUUUUCAAGGUUCACAUUGAAAUAGGUCUCUAGAUGGUGCAGAUCUUUCAUCUUUUGAGAACAUCUUAAGGCCACCUUACUGGUGUUUGUUUUCCCUUGCCAAAAGUUCAGAACCACUGCUUUCUACAGUAAAUUCAGUGAUAACAGCCUACCAGGUCAUGUCUUGAUGUUUUCACUCUUUUCACAUGGAUGUUAUCAAGCAGCAAUGAUGACAGUAGCCUC